rnacentral:tRNA from 1 species
GCGGGUGUAGUUUAAUGGUAAAACUUGAGCUUCCCAAGCUUACGUCGUGGGUUCGAUUCCCAUCACCCGCUCCA